CACACACACACACACACACACACACACACACACACACACACACACACACACACCAAUUAAAAAUAAUGCUGAUAGCGUGGACUAGAAGACAGGUGAUGGGUUACGUAUUUAAAUGAUGAUCAGGCUGCUGUAAAAUGUAAUCUCCAUCCACAUCCAGACACAAUUAUCCUCUAUUCUAUUUGCUCUGCUCUUGUCUGGGCUGACGUAGCUGACGGUGCGCGCGGCGCGCCUAACUAGCGGCUGAUGCACAUUUUACGCAUUUGGAGAGGUGGGCUGGAGGCUUUGCUUUUACUGGAAGAUGGUCCACUUAACGCACGGGUGUAGACUACAUAUUAAUGACAAAUGAAUGAAAAUUAAAUUGAGUUUUUACUUCAUAUUUUAGAAAUAAAAAUGACGGGGGAACACAUUUAUGACGUCUUUUUAAACUAAAUUUUCUAGCGCGACCUGCCUGCUUCACUAAGUCACUGCUUAUUAAGGUCCGUCCAAAAUUACUGUGGCCCACCCAAAAAUGAAAACCUGGCACAGUGCCUGUUAUAAUCCUCUGCAAAUUAUUGUUCUUCACAUUAUCAAAGUCAGACUUUGUACAGCUAAUGUCAAGAUGCAAAGUUAUGAAUUCAGUCGAGCUCUUCCGUCCCUCCCUCUCCUGCUCUCCUUGAAACCCGACAUCGGCUGUCAGAAGCAGGAGGUGAAGAAGGGCAAACAGAGUGAGUGUGACGUAAAGAAACCAGACUGGUGUGAAGGUGAGCAAAACGGCUAGAAAAGUGAGGGUGUUGAACGAUCUCAAGAAAAGUGUGGGUGUUGAAUCCCCCACAUCCCCCAUGGGUGCGACGCUCAAUCCUCUCCUGCCUUUUCCUUUUCUGCAUCUUUGUUAUACUGAGUGAGAAAUAGGUAAAUAAAAGCUUGAUUUUGACAUGGAUCUUCCUAAUAUGACUGAGGAAAUGUUUUUUGGGUAAUAUCUGCUAAAAUAUUAAGAUAAAAUAUGUGUAAGCCUUUUCUGUGUAGGUACAUACCCGGUGUAUUUUCACCACUACAAGCCGAAUGUUGAAAAUGACCGAACAGGCGGGAUUUAUGGUGGGAAACAAAUCGAUUGGUUGAAAGCCAGUUGUGUCAGAGCAACAGGAGAGGGAGGGAGGGAAGAGCCCCUGGAAGCCCUUGGGUUCUUCCUUCCCUCCCUCUCCUGCUGCUGCUUGAAACCGAAACCCGAGGCAAACAGACUGCGACGUAGAGACCAGACUGGCGUGGAGGCGGUCUGAGUGGGUUGACCUGCUUUUCCAGGCUGAAGUGACCAUCUGAGGAGAUAUUUUUAACUUUCAGAUCUACAGGAGCUGCUUGUUGCAGCCUCUUCUCUGAGGUUAUUACAUCUUUAAAAUAAUUUCAUACAAUCAAAAAUAAAUAAAGUGAACCACAUCCUAUUCAUUAAAGAUAUUUUGUCACACAGAUACUGCAGAAGCUAGUAAGAGCCAAAUAUAAACAAAUAAACACAUAAAAAUGACAUCCAUUCACUCAUAAGAUUUUUAUUCACAUUAAGACUCAUUAUAUAGCUGGUGCUGUGUUUUCAGUAUCAUCUAUAAUGACAAAAACAAGCUAUGAAAUUCUGUAUCGUUGGUAGUAUUUAGUCUAAUUCAAAAAGCACAUGUUGGAGUUAAAAAGUUUUUUUCAGUGUUAUCCUAACAAAUAAAAUUAAAAUUGUAAUAUCACAUUUUGGGGAAUUAUUAAAUGUUUUUCUGCAUAGACACAAAUAUCUUCCCACUGCACUGUCAACUCCUCUGAUUAUAUAGGCAGGUACAGUUUUUAAAUUUCCAUUUCCUUGGUUUCUAAUCUACAAAAUAACAAUGGCAAAGGAUAAACGUUGAACUACACAAACAUUGCUAAAAGGUAAUACAGGGUCAAUACUAGACUCAACCUGCAUGGCAGUACUUAUAUUCAGUAAUAACUUUUUUGCAUAAUUAAAGUAAAACUACCUGAAAUAAUUUGUCUGUUUUAUUUGAUUUCUAGAAAUCAUCUCAAGACCUAAAACUGAAUGUUUUGUGACCCACAGCUGGGUCCUCAUGUCUGGACGACAUUAAAUCUGGGAAUAAACAUCUGUUUAAUUUUAUGAUCAAUGGCUUGUUUUACUUGGAAGGCUGUAAGCAAGUCUGUGUGAAAAAUUUACAGCCUGAAGCGAAAUAUUCUCAACUUCGACUUAAUUUUCACACUUGGCGCUCGCUGGGCUCUGCACUAUGUGAAAGAGCACUUGGCACUUCUCCUGGGCCAGGAAAAGUGGUCUCCCACCAGACUUGAUUAAAUCAUUUUUUUUAAUGAAGUGGCCAUCUUUGCCCUGUCCUACAUCUGCUGCUGACAUAUCUAGACUUUACCCGUUUGAUUUGUAGUCUGUUAAUAACCUAUUUGGUUUCUACUAAUGUGUUUGCCAAUUAAACACUACAGCUAAGGAGCAAAGACUGAAUCAUCUUCAUGGCACUAUGCUCAGCACUAACGACUCUGCAGGUAAAAUUUAUGCAGUUGUUUACGUCUCUCGUUUUAUUUAAAUUAUGCCUGGCAGUGGCCUCUGCCAGGCAUAAUCACCACAUGCAUAAUGGUUCUCUGGGUCUCUUAUCAGGUGUGAAAUAUCACUCAAGAACACCUUGAGGAAAUUUCAUCUUCAGAUCUGACACAUAUCAUCCCUUGGACUUAAAUACAAACUGACUAGAAGUUUGCUGUAAAAGUUUAAAAAUCAAACUUGCUGCGACCCACAUUUCUCCCAUACGCAUGAACGUGACAUUUCAAGAACACCUUGAGGGAAUUUUCUUUAACUUUGGCACAGAUUUUUACUUGGAAAGAGAAUGGAAUGAUGACAUUUCAUAUCCGAAAGGUCGAAUGUGAAUUUUUCAUUGAUACAACACAGCAGUGUUUUUCCCUAGACGUGGUAUAACCUGGGAACAAAAACAAAAAGGAAGAGAAAGAAAAGAUGAGAAAUAAAAACUUGACAGACUGGUGGACGUGAAAAACUGACAGAUGAAAAAUGUUAAUGGUAAAAAUUUACCUGACAUGGACAACUAUUUAAACUAGCCUAGGAUCUAGACUCUGCCACUAACUCUGUUUGCUCAGGGACAAAAAACAAGCCUGGAGGAGCUCCUGCCAUGUGAGUGAGUUGCUAAUGCUAGCAGUUAGCUUCUGUUGACUGAGACGUUUUCUGCCGAUUCUGGCCGCUAAAACAACAACAGCAUUCCCCAUCGUGAGUCAUUUUGGGUAAGUUGUAUUGGCAGUGUGACGUAGAUCUGUUAGGCUUUUCAAAUCCUAGAGUUUCAUCGUCUAUUUUCUAUCAGAAGCUAAUGCAGGAGAAAGGUGUAGGAGGCUGUUUUCAUGUACAGCCUGCAUUAAAAACACAGAGUAACUGAUUUUUAUCAGAAAUAAUCAUUAAAGAAUGGUUUUCAACCACACCUUUAAAUAACAUGACUGAAUACAGAUGUCAAACAAAAACUUCAAGCCCAGAUUUUUACAUUUUAAUGCAAUGUUUUUCAUCAGGCAAGGCAAGGCAGCUUUAAUUGUAGAGCACAUUUCAAACACAGAGGCAAUUCAAUGUGCUUUACAAUUAUCUGAACAUGACAUGAAAACAACAUAAAAACACAUUAAAAUACACAGAGAUAGAACUACAGUUUCGAGCUAAAGGAGAAGACUAAGUUCCAGCGCAGAUUGCAAUGGAGAUAACACAACAUCCAACCAUUCAUCCAUUUUCUUCCGCUUAUCCGGAGUCGGGUUGUGGGGGCAGUAGCCUAAAGCCUGGUUUAUGCUUCUCCGUCAGCUCCGCAAGGGACAGACACGCACGGAUUGACGGAAGCGUUUUGCUCUUUUUCUUCUCCGUCUCCUGGAGAGUCUUGCAAAGCAAUUGCCCGGCAGGACAACAGAGGGCGUAGCGCUGUUCUGUGGUAUCCUGUCAUGUAUCGGUCCAAGAUAGUGUGUUUAUAUUGUGUUUUUUGUGUAUAUAAGAGACCUUUUAACACAGACAUAUUUGUCUCUCAUUCUCCCACCGCUUCAUGCGCUCCCCACCUCUAAACCCAUGUUUCCUGUCAUUUCCGUCCACAAAUAAAACGCUUGCUGCGCAUCUUUUCACUCCUCCAGUCACGGGAGAAUUAAACGUUCAUAUUUUUAGAGUUUUUUCGCGAGGUAUUCUUCAAGCUUCUCCGUGUCUGCCGCUAGUUAUCCUCGGCUCUCUUUGCAAUGGCAGCGCUGUAAACAACAGCGGCGUCCUGACCAAUCACAAGCUUGCGUAAUCCGUCUCGUUCGACGGAUGUUUAAAAAAGUGGGCUCGACUCCAUACGUACUUGCGUGCCUGCCGGAGCCCUACGCAAGGACGGUGCGUGUCUCCGCACUGACGCAGACGGAGAAGCAUAAACCAGGCUUAAGUUGAGAGGUCCAGACUUCCCUCUUCCCAGCCACUUAGGCCAGCUCCUUUGGGAGAAUCCCAAGGUGUUCCCUGGCCAGGUGAGAGACAUAGUCCCUCCAACGUGUCCUGGGUCUACCUUUAGGUCUCCUCACGGUUGGACGUCCCCGGAAAACCUCACCAGGGAGGGGUCCAGGAGGCAUCCUAACCAGAUACCCGAGCCACCUCAACUGGCUCCUCUCGAUGUGGAGGGGCAGCGGGUCUACUCCGAGCCCCUCCCAGAUGACCGAGCUUCUCACCCUAUCUCGAAGGGAGAGCCCAGCCACUCUGCAGAGAAAAAUCCUUUUGGACGCUUGUAUCCGCAUCAAUGCUUUUAAAAUGCUGAUGAGUACAUCAGGGUUUUUAGUUUAGAUUAAAACAACACUAGGGUUGGGGCAGAUCUCAAGUCAUGGGGAAGCUGAUUCCAUAUGUGAGCAGCAUAGUAACUAAAAGCAUCUCCACCAUAUUUUGCUCUGAUCCGAGGUUCUACCAGCUGAUUGUUUCCAAGGGAUCUCAGAGCCCUAUUGGGUAUAUGUACAGGAAUGAGAUUGGACAUGAAUUUUGGUCCCAUGCCAUUAAGUAAUUUAUAAACUAGUAGGGACACUUUGAAAUCUAUUCUGCAGUUUACUGGUAACCAGUGUAGGAAUCAAAGAACAGGAGUGAUGUGAUCUGAUCUCUCAGUUCCUGUUAAGAGUCUCACAGCAGCAUUCUGAACAAGCUGCAGUUGCUUCAUCAGUGAGACUUUUGCAUAAGACUCUUAAAAUAUCUCUGUAUAUUGGCAGAAGCAAGGUCAUUGUGAAUGUAUAAAUGUAAAGACACUGCAUUUUCUGCAUCAAAGUGAACUAACUCUUGGUUUAACUGUUAUAUGGAUUUUAACUUCUAUAUAAUUCCAUUUUAAAUUACCUGCAUUAUGACUGCAGGUUUUAAACCCCUGCUGAGAGCAGUGAUCAUGACACAGAAACCAGAUUUUUGCACAGCAGUAAAACUAAAACUAAAGAAAAAAAUAAAAAAAUAAAAGAAGAAAGUUUUCACUCCUGCUGGCUGACUGCCUUAUUUUCCUUCUUUAAUUUGUACUUCCAGCGACUUGGCCAUUAGUUUUUAAGAGUGCUUGAGUCAGAGACUUACAUUGGGAUUUAGUGUUCAUCUGUCUGCUUCCGUUAUGUGUCCUCGUCUGCUGGCCAGCCAAGAUCGCUGGCUUAAUCACAACAUACUGUAAACUGUAAAAAUGUUCUGUCAAUUUAUCUCGUUAUAUCUCUGCUGUUGUUGUCCCUUACAGGUCCAAUUACAGCAGCCUGUCUGGGCCAAGCCGGAGAGUCUGCAGCGUUUCCAAUGACCUGCAGAUGCCUAUGAAGCAGAUGUUCGGCACCGAUAAGUGGAGCUGCUGGAUGGGCACAUCCAGCUGUUUACGGAAUAGAGAAAGCUGCUGUUUUGUGGUGACGCAUUUCUAAUGCCAAGCACCAGACGAAAAAUAGCACACACACACACACACACACACACACACACACACACACACACACACACACACACACACACACACACACACACACA